ACCCAUGAAGAAAUAAGUUAGCCAUACAUGGCUUUAGUGAGACGAACAAUACGUACUGAGAAUGGUCAGGACAAGAGCUUGCAGAAGUAGAGUCCAAGUGUUGAACACGUCAAAGUCAAUAUUUGCUCCAUGUCGGUUUCAAUUCUGCAUUUAAUAUGGAGGUACGUAGUUUGUGAUAACAGUGAAACAAUAUGUGAAUAUGAUCGCAUUAUUACUGGCGUAUUUUUAUCAAACAGAGAGGCUUAUACUGGAUUAAAAUGGAGACCUCACAAUCCAGGAGUUUAGUGAAAGUGGAAAAUGAGAGAUUUUAAGAAUCUUAAGCAAUUGCAGCUAUCAAAUUACGCAAAGAUAAACAAAGCCAAACUGCAUUUCAUAUGACUGUUGAAGGUCAGGAUACUUAUAUGAACGAGAAAGUACUGGAUGCUGGCAGCUCAAUAUUGAUUGAGCAUGACAAGAAAGGCAAUACAACUUUCCACAUAGCCACAUGGAAAUGUCGUCUCGACGUAGCUUUUUAAUUAGUUUCUUACGGCUAUAACAUGACACUUGCUAUUCUGAAUACAUCAAAGAUCUGAUCUCAUCUUUGGAUUUUGAAAGUAAAGGUUAUUUUUUGUAGCACUCGAUUUCCUGAACUGUUCUUGAACUGUCAAUGCAUUCUUAAUCCUUUCAUUUUUAUCGUAUUGCUAAACAAAAUGGUCAGUAGUGGUUUAUGCUAAGAUAAAUUUCUAGAAGAAUGAAGUAGAUUUUUUUGUAAAAAUAAAGAAAAAGAAAAGAAAAAAUAUUAUCAGCUAUAGAAUCUUGCAGUAAGUAGGGGCUAGAGUUUAACUCGGGAAGCCUGCAACUUUGUAAUAGACGACUGUUGUAAGGAUCCCUGAAUAGGUUUUUUGAAUUCCUCUGUUUUUCUAAGUUGGGGACUGAACUGGUACUCAUAGGCAGGCAGCACUAUAUGGAUUGCCUUGUUGUCUUAUAUUGUAGUUCUGAUGGUCUUUAUAAAUAUUCCUCAUAAAAAUUGAAACUGUUGGAAUAUGAAUGUAUGUACUAUCUAAUCCUUGCUAGAAAAAACAGGAUUUAUAAUUGCAUUUUGACUUAAAUAGCUAUUGGACGAUUACUGACUGUUAAAGGAACUGAUCUUGGUAAGCUUCUGCCAAAUUUCUAUUUAUGUUGUGAUUUUUAGAAAGACAAAGUUUGGUUGCUGAGCAAUGAAGUGCUGAUAGCAAAUCAUGAAUUAAGAUGUGUGUGUAAUGUGCUUGACGAAGCAAACACUUGCUAUAAUUUUUUGGGUAUUAUAUCUACAAUAUUUAACUAUGGGACUGUGACUUUGUAAAAAUUGCUGAGAGCUUUUUCCCUUUGACUUCCUGAAUAUGAUUUGAUGACAUCAUUAGAUUUCGCCUGCACAUGCAGGUGGCUGCUUGAACUACAAUACUCUAUUUACUUCGCGUGAUCGCGAUCUGUUUAAUAGGAGAUUAUGUGAGUCUGGAUAAUGAUUCAGAUGCCUGCUGCCUUGGGACAAGAUGCUUUUCAAAAUAAAGCUGCUAAAUUUGGUGCUAUAUUAUCCAAGAAUUUAUUGCUUCGCAUUAUCUAUAGUAACUGAUAAAGGUUUGUCAAUCAAAUGUAUGAUAAUUGUGAUUUAUGAUGGUUAAGAAGUGGAAUUUGAGGGCAGGUAUUUUAACCAAAAUUAUUUUGUUAAUCAGUUCCUUAGGAAUGUCAUGUCUUGCUGAAAUUGUUAUACUUAUCUCAUUUGGAGACCAAAUAAGUUAUAAUAUAAAAAUAAAUGUGAAUUAGGCUAUACACCUAUGGUAUUUGAUGAUAUACCUGACUCAUUUUAUUUGGUGCUAACUAUCAUGUCCUGACAGAUUUAAUACUCGGCAUUAUAAUGUAUUAUAUUGUGCGCUUAUUGAUGAGAAUAACUUCAUGCAGGGUACAAACUAGGGUGGAUCGUUAUGCUGGUUUUGAGAGGUUUUGGUCACUUUAAUGGUUUUGAUUGUUUUCUUCAGCUUUUGUUGAUGUGAUUUUUCCCCUUUGUUGUGACAUAUAAAAUUUGGAGCUGAUAUGGAUAUGUCGGAUGGAGACUUUUUUGUGGCUCUAUCGCUGUAACAUAAACAAAGUUUGAGUUUCAGAUUCAUUAAUUUCAUUUCUGACCGAAGCUUCAUUAGUUUAUCAUAUGAUCUUUUGACAGUUUCACAAUAUGAAGGCACACAAAAGUUACUUGGAAGAUCUACUCAGUGUUAUAUUUCAUUUGACAAAUUCUUCUCUGCUGAACUACUAAAGACAAAAAUAUUCUCUUUAAUGAACCUCACUACAUUAGUAUUUCCUUCCUAUUAGUUGUGAACUUGUGGUCGUCUCAUCAAUGCCUUUACAAAGAUGAUACUUUUAUUUUUCAAGAACUAUACUUCAUGAAGUGUAUUCAUGUGCAUCAUGCAAUUUAUGGCUCCAUACUAUUUAUAUUUCCAAAAUAGAUUGCAGAGCGUAUAUAAAUGUAAUUCUUUUUGUAGCUUAUAUGAUUCAAUUUACUGAUUUCCUGCUUCAGAUCUUGCCAUUGCUUUUCUUCAUUGGCCUUUUCUUGAGGUAUGUGCCUAUAUAUACGAAGGAUCAUAUUUCUGCUUUGAAUCUUAGUAGGUUGGUCUUUCACAAGGGAAAAUUCAACUCCUCCAUCCUUAAAAGUUCUUCAUCACAUGUAAUACAGAGAGAACACAAACGGAGAUUGCAUCUACUUUUGAGAAUAUAUUUAGUUUCUUAAAUUUCAAGUUUGUAAUUACAAGUGAAAUAAGGGUAUAUAAGAUACCUUUAAUUCGUAUAUUUUGCUAUGAUUCAAUGAAUGAUAGUUACAACGUAA